AGGACGAACGCUGGCGGCGUGCCUAACACAUGCAAGUCGAGCGGGGACAUGGAAGUAGCAAUACGGAAAUGUCUAGCGGCGGACGGGUGAGUAACGCGUGAGCAACCUGUCCCAGUCAGGGGGAUAACGAGCCGAAAGGCUCCCUAAUACCGCAUGAGACCACAGCAUCACAUGGUGCAGGGGUCAAAGGAGAGAUCCGGACUGGGGUGGGCUCGCGUCUGAUUAGCUAGUUGGUGAGGUAAAGGCCCACCAAGGCGACGAUCAGUAGCCGACCUGAGAGGGUGAUCGGCCACAUUGGAACUGAGACACGGUCCAAACUCCUACGGGAGGCAGCAGUGGGGAAUAUUGGGCAAUGGGGGAAACCCUGAACCCCAGCAACGCCGCGUGAAGGAAGAAGGUCUUCGGAUCGUAAACUUCUAUCCUUGGUGAAGAUAAUGACGGUAGCCGAGAAGGAAGCCCCGGCUAACUACGUGCCAGCAGCUGC
rnacentral:rRNA from 1 species